rnacentral:ncRNA from 1 species
UGAAACAUCAUGAAGUGGAGAGUAAUCAGCAACGCAGCUUUAGAGAGUCGAUGGCAGGUGGAAAUCGAUGCAGGCGUCUGAUGAAAAUGACCGCGGAAUGGAUUCGGCGAUGAGUCGGGUACGCAUUAGGCCUGCGUUAAACGGUCUCGGUGUCAACAGGCAUCGUAGAGGUUACACGGUAACGAACCAGGGUGGUACCCCGACAUUGUCGGCCCUGCU